GAUGAACGCUGGCGGCGUGCUUAAUACAUGCAAGUCGAGCGAACAGAUGAGGAGCUUGCUCCUCUGACGUUAGCGGCGGGCGGGUGAGUAACGCGUGGAUCAUCCACCUAUCAGACUGGGAUAACCUCGGGAAACCGGCGAUAAUACCGUAGAAUCUACUGAACCGCAUGGUUCAAUAGUGAAAGUCGGUUUUGCUGUAUGUUAUAGCUGCUUCCGGGCCGCAUUAGCUAGUUGUUGGGGUCACGGCUUACCAAGGCAAGGAUGCGUAGCCGACCGGACGGGGUGGUCGGCCGCACUGGAACUUAGCCACGGACCAGACUCCUGCGGGAGGCAGCAGUAGGGAAUCUGCCGCAAUAGGCGGAAGCCUGACGGAGCAAGGGGGCGUGUGUUAUAACGGUCUUGGGAUCGUAAUACUGUGUUAUUAGGUAAGAACAACUUUGUACGUAGCUAUGCACGGCUUGACGGUACUUAAUCAGAAAGCCAUGGCUAACUACGUG
rnacentral:rRNA from 1 species